UGGGGAAUCUUGCGCAAUGGGGGAAACCCUGACGCAGCGACGCCGCGUGCGGCAUGAAGGCCUUCGGGUUGUAAACCGCUUUCAGCAGGGACGAGGCCUUAUGGUGACGGUACCUGCAGAAGAAGCUCCGGCUAAAUACGUGCCAGCAGCCGCGGUAAUACGUAUGGAGCAAGCGUUAUCCGGAUUCAUUGGGCGUAAAGCGCUCGUAGGCGGUCUGUUAGGUCGGCAAGUUAAAUCCGGGGGCUCAACCCCCGUCCGCUUCCGAUACCGGCAGACUUGAGUUUGGGAGGGGAAGGUGGAAUUCCUGGUGUAGCGGUGGAAUGCGCGGAUAUUAGGAAGAACACCGGUGGCGAAGGCGGCCUUCUGGGCCAUAACUGACGCUGAGGAGCGAAAGCUAGGGGAGCGAACAGG
rnacentral:rRNA from 1 species